rnacentral:rRNA from 1 species
UACCCUACGGACGCAGCAGUCGGGAAUAUUGCGCAAUGGAGGAAACUCUGACGCAGUGACGCCGCGUAUAGGAAGAAGGUUUUCGGAUUGUAAACUACUGUCGUUAGGGAAGAAAAAGGACAGUACCUAAGGAGGAAGCUCCGGCUAACUACGUGCCAGCAGCCGCGGUAAUACGUAGGGAGCGAGCGUUAUCCGGAUUUAUUGGGUGUAAAGGGUGCGUAGACGGGCUAACAAGUUGGUUGUGAAAUCCCUCG